rnacentral:tRNA from 1 species
GGCUGUGGAUAAUAUGUGUGUGCUACUGACUUGUAAUCAGUAGGUCCCGGGUUCGAUUCCUGGUGCCGGCACCA